rnacentral:lncRNA from 1 species
UUUAUAUAUUAAUUUUUUAUUCCAUGUACACUCUUUCAACGUUUCCCAAUUGUGAUGGCACAAUAAAUCUUUUGAAGGAACAUCAUAACUGUUAGAUCCCUGUUAAAAUUCUUGCCGCCCAAUUCUGUAUUUUGUUCAGGUUCUCAAGAUAAUAGUAGGAUGGCUGUGUUGUCCCAUACCAUAUAGUAUAAUCGAAGUAAUUGAGUAUCACUGCAUGAACGUUACUUUUAUAUAUGAUUUGUAAAACAGAUUCAGUUACAAACGGUUUCAUCAUUUUGAUUAUUCCUAAACCUUUAGUAAAACUAUAGUAUAGUUGUCUCUUAUAUCAUGGUCGGCUUUCCACAGUAAUUUGUCUUAAAUUCUUAUCCCUUGUGCAUCUUAAAAUUCCAGUAUAUAUUGGCAGAAAUGCUUGGUCUCCACUCAUACAGUCAUAUAAAAUUAUCUUCGGCAAUAUAGUAUUUGGAAGGUUUUUAGAUAUAGUUUGGAAAACGAAGUAAAUAAAUUAUUGG